rnacentral:lncRNA from 1 species
GCGGCAUGCUCCCCAGCAAGAGAAGAUUUCUGAGUCCAAAUCAGGCUGACAGGCAUGCCUGGUGGAGGAGCAACGAAGACCGCUGAGCGUGCAUUGCCAGCAUUUUUAGGGGUCUCUGCUUCAGGCGGAAGUUCCAGAUCUUCUAGGUCCCAACCACCUUCCUCGCCAUCCUCCUCAUUUGCUUCACCCUCCUCAGCAUCAAAACCGUCACCACCAUUUGCCAUCGCUUCGCUUGCAUCAACCAUAUCCAGGUCCUCAUCACCCCAGUCAGCACCAGCAGCUUCAUCGUCUUCCUCAAGUUCAGCCUUCCCAGUAGCAUCCAGUCCACCCUCAAAGAUACCAUGCAUCACCCUAAGCAAUGGCCAAUCACCACUGGCUGUAAGAGGAGCAGGGGGGAUCAAAAGAGAGCGAGCUUUUCCUUCAGGAAGAGAAGGAAUAUUUUCACCCAGCUCAGCGGCAAGCCUAUCAGCAAUUUCUGUGAGCCCAUGGGUGGUAGCAGUAAUAUAAGCAAGAGGUAGCUGUCCAGCAUUCUCUAGGAUCUCAACUCUCUUCAACGCAUCACCAAGAUACAGAGCAUUGUGGAAUUGACCCAUCAGGUUAUUGUUCUGUCCAGCAAUUUUGCACAUGAAACCCACCUUGUCCAUGUAACCAGUAAUAAGAUAUAGGAAAGCAAGCCUCUCAAAAUUCUUCGUACGUUGGUAUGCAUAUUCCACAAUACCAACAUUUCCCUGCCUCAGGGCCUCAAUUCCCAACCUGUACCAGUGAUCCUUGUCAUCAAUCUCUUUUGCAGAAGCAACUGCGAUUUGGAUGUUACCACUCUCAAGAGCAAGGUUAAAUCUUGUCUUCUCAUCUUUCACAAAGUGGAGGGCAACUUCUGGAAAGCCUUUCUGUUGUAAAUAAGAAAUCACAGCUUGCCCACACAGCUGGGAAUUCUUGAUCAUACUCAUCACAUGAUCAUACCGUUUGCGUAGAAGGGCCAGCUUGAAAAUGUACUCAGAUGCAUCAACUGUGACCAGCUUGUUCUUACCAUCACGAUCUAGACAGAAUAUAUUGUUCCCAAUAACCCUUGUUAUGUAUAUAGGAACAUCGAGGGUUUUAAUAAUCCCACUAUCUCCAUUGGGAAGGCAAUACUUGAUAUGAUUCAGGGUAGUGUAAAUAAACACACCAUUCUCAUCCCAGGCACCACUUUUCACACGAAUGGUUUCGUGCAGUGUACAGCGAUGGACGAGCUUCUUGUUUGCUAUAACCACUGCAUGCUUGCUCAGCAGUGCGACAGAUUCCAUAUCACUAGACCAAACAACAUAUUUAACAGAAGGUGCCUGGAGCUCACCAAGAAUUAACCUUUGCUGCAGAUCAAAGAUGGUCACUCGGUCUUCGGCUUUGCACAGCAAGUUACCAGUCCCAGCAUAAUAAAUUGCAUCCGUGGCAAUAGGAAGAGGGCUUUUCUUUACGAUUUCAUUCUUAAGAUUCUUCACCAAAACUUGAUUGCUACUCUUCUCAAGGACUGCAAACCUGUUGCGUGCCACGAAAACAGCUGACCCACCAGCUCCCUUCUUUGCAUCCUGCAAAUAGUCAGCCCUGCCAGCAGAAUCCUUGGGAACAAUGUAGAGUUCGUAUGAGCCUCCAUCCACAUCAGAGCAAAUCAGGACAGCAUUUUCAGUUGGACUGUAAGAUAGUGUCUUGGGUGACUGGUUCAAGCUCACUGAUCCAGGUCUUCUUAUUGGAGCAAGCUGAACUUCCUUCUGUGUGGUGAAUUCAAAAAAACGAAGAAAACGGUCCUUCACAUAGAAAACAGUAUCUCCACUCACAGAGAAAGCUGGACGUUCCCUCUCCAAUUUAAACACAAUCAUACCACUGUCAUGACCAGCGGCAAGAAGAUUCAUCUCAGGGUGAGCAGAAAGAAUCCAGAAACGAUCAUGUUCCCGCCUGAACGUUUGAAUACCGGUUCGCUUUGUGGCAUCCCAGAUGCGAAUGCUUUUGUCCUCUGAGUUGGACACAAUGAUGUCUUGCUUAGCAUGGAACAUCACGCAUGACACAUUAUUCAUGUGUCCCCGCAAAGUAUCAACUUCCCAAGCCUUCGUGUCUGUCCAAAAAAAUAGCACAUUUAGAUUACAUUAAUUCAAAUACCUCAAUAGCGGUUUGCUGCAUAUGCAUAUAGUUUUGUGUUUGGCCAGUCUAGCAAUAUGCAGAAGAAUGAAGUGCUAUGCAACAAGAAUGACCACCUUUCAUUCCAACCAAAGUGACAAACUAGAGGUCAGGAGCUAGUUACUAAUUGAGUAAUUGUGAAGCAUGUUUCUUGCAUUCAGCUUGUUCGGUAAUUACUACUUCUGUGAAAGUAUGAUAAAUUGAAGAAAACAAAAGGAAUUCAUAAUAAAAUCAAAUCCAUAGUUUGUAGUAAUAAUAUAUGGAAGGACAAAUGAAUAAAAACACAAAUAUGCAAGCGUUUAUCCAUGGAAAAUGGUAAUAGAAAAGUUUAAGGCCUUGUAGCAGUAUUACCAUUCAUUCUCCAUAGCUUCACUUGUCGGUCAUCUGCCCCGGAAACAAUGAGUGGCAAUGUGGGGUGAAAUGAUGCCCAGUUCACCCCACGGUCAUGCCCUUCCAACACAUAUUUUACAACUGCAUCAACACCUCCAAACAGAUCUGUGUUCAUCUGGGUGAGACGCAGGAUGUCAUCUGCAGGUGACACCGUCUUCUUCCUCAAAGCACCAAUAUCCCAAACACGGACAGUCUGAUCCAGUGAUGCUGACACAACCAGGUCCUCCUUGGGAUGGAAUGAUGCGCACAUGACAUAGUGGUUAUGUCCAGUCAGCACAGCUACACAUGUGCGUGACUGCCAGUUCCAGAUCCGGAUUGUCUGGUCAUCACUAGCACUUACUAUCCAUGGGUAUUCGUGGUGGAAUUGCACGGUGCGAAUAUAGUCAAGGUGCCCGUGAAGUGUGAAGAGGCAGCGGUGUGUCUUGUAAUUCCACACCUUAAUCUUGUAAUCAUCACCUGCAAUGCAUCACAGAAAUCUUAGAAUAGUUCAGAAGUUCAACCAUUCCGCAUCCCAAUCAUAUUAGUCCACCGAGCAAUACGACCGGACACCAGUAUGACUUCGUUUCAAGUUUCAACAGAUCCCAAAGUCCAGGUUUCAACAAAUUCCAAAGGUCCAUGAUGGCACCUUGCCAUCGCUAACUUGCUACUUGUAUCAGAUUCACACUACAAAAGCUGAUUCUCUCUGGUUGAGGGCUACACAUCGACUCAUUCUACUUCCUAUCAUAUCUCUUCUACGGAAGGAUUGCAAAAUCGAUGGAGAUCCCGGUCAUAAAUAGAAACAAAAUGUCACAUGAAGGUUUCAAACUAACAAUUCACCAAACAGUUCAUCUUAAGCUAAGAGAAUAGAACCAGCACCAGAUCCAACCAACGAGGAUCACUUGCACAACCACCACUGUACACGAAACGCGAUCUAAUCGCAAACCACGUACGCGUGGUAUCUACCUCGAGUGUCCUCAUUGCACCAUGAAAUGGAUCACGCGGAAAUCUAACGGCCACGCGAGACGUCCUCCAAAUCCGAGGAGGAGGAUCCGACCAAACACGCGUCGACGCCACACCCGACCCCGCGAGCGGCGAACCACCACAGCGAAAAAAAAAAUGCUCGAGGCGGGCGAGAUCUAGGCAGGGAGGAAUCGAUGUUUACCUCCGGAGACGAAGAGCGGCUGCGUGGCGUGGAAGUGGACGCCGCGGACGGGGCCGUCGUGCUCGUCGAAGCGGUCGAGGAGGGUGCCCAUGCGGUAGUCCCACAUCUGGAUCACCCCGCUGUGGAGGCUGGCCAGGAUCCAUGGCCGCCGCGGGUGGAAGCUCAGCCCCUUCACCCGGUUGCUCUUCGUCUCGAACUUGGUCAGCAUCUUCUCUAGCCGUCCCCCCGGCGCGACGGCGGCGGCGGCGGCGAAACCCCUCGCCGCUGAGGCGCGCGGAGGAGAGAGAGGGGGGAGGGGGGGUGGUAUGGCGUUGGGUGGAGAGGACGAAGGUGUUUUUGAGAUCUCGGGGUGGGAGGAGGAAGAAGUGGGGGGAGAGAUCUGGGUUUCGGACGCGGUGGUGAGGUGGUGGGAGGCUUGGCCACCGUUGGAUUCUGGAGACGGGGAGAUCUGGGCCGUUGGUUCCGGUGUGGCCGUGUUGUCAGAUUGGGGUAGACUUGUUUAGGGGUGAGUCAGCUUGGUCCGUAAGGUACCUGAUGAAUACUGUAGCUUCAGUACGAAGGCAGCGUUUUUGACUUGUCAGUAGCAGUAGAGAAAAAAAAAAGUUUAGGGCCAUUUGAAUCGCAUGGUUGAAAGAAAUGUAGGAAUAUAAAAAAGACAGGAUUCUGAUAAGAAUUGAAGUGUAAAACAGAGGAUUGCAAUAUACAUGAAUGGUCGUUUGAUUAGAGCGCAGAAAAAAAACGCAUGAAUCGAAUGAGAGAGAUAGACUCAAAGGACAUUUUCUAAGAGGUUGGAGCUCUUGCUAAAAUUUUCCUCUAAAAUCCACAUGCAAUGUGUCAUUCCAUAGGAAUUUCAUAGGUUUUGGAAAGCUUCAAUCAUUUGAAUCAAAGUACCAAAUAGAAAAAUUUCCUAUAGGAUUUGAAUCCUAUGAAAUUUCUACAUAAAUCCUUUGUUUCAAGAGGCCUUACCUUUUGUAGUUAUGUCAUUUAUAUUUAAAAAACAGGAUAUAUCAUAUAAAAAAUUAUAACCAUGCUAGUAGAAAAAAGGAAUUUAUAAGGCUGGUUAUAACCAUGGUUUAUACUUAUGCUAGUAGAACAAAGAGUUUCCAUGUCUUAAAAUGUCACAACAGAUGCAAGCAAACAAGCACAACCAUAAUACUUGCCGAUUUUGGCAGGUACAGUAGUAUAGGAAUGAGCGUUGGUUACUGCAAUUGUUUCUCCGAUGAAUCAAUAAGUGCAUUAUCGAUUGGAAUAAGAUAACUUAAUGGACGAUCCUUCCCGAGUCUUCAUCAACAACCAAGAGAAAACGAUAGACAUCAGAAAAGGUUAAAGGUGGUAAACAACAUAAUUCCAUAAAUGGAAGGGGACAAAAGACCUAGACAGUAUAUCACUAUAUUAGAUCUAAUCUUGUAAAUACUUUAUUUGAAAAACAAAUCUAAAAUAUUCCUAAAAUAAAAUAGAAGGGCCUCCUCACCAUCGACAAGGGUGCUAAAGACAGUAGGGAAGGGAAGGGGGACUAGAUGGGUUGUGAGGACGAAAGCCUUCAUGAAUUAAAUUGGUGAUUCAUGGUACGCUCUCGCUAUGACAUAUUCCAGUUUACCAUCCAAAUCUAUAUAAUACUUUAUCUAUAGAUAUAUCCACCUAGUUUAUUUGCUAUAAAAAAUCUAGCACAUGAAGUUUAAAGUGCAUCUAGGCUCUAAUUCAAUUUCAGUAAUCAAUGACUAGCGAUUAGAGAUGACUAACACCUUUGCAUAUAACUCUUUGGGCCUACAUGUCAUGUCAGUGGCUAGAUAUUAUGGAACUUGGUCCCUAAGCUUUCUAAAAAUCUUGAAUAGGUCCUUAUCUUCAACCACAAAUAAGAGGAGUGUAAUAAGUGGCGCGCUCAGCCAAGAGCCAAGGCAUGCCCAGGGGACCUCCGUGGUCCCUUCGGGUGCAGUAGGCACAUCAUAGAGUGGCUAGAGGACGACGGGCGACGAGCUCCUGAAAAGCCGUGGCCAUGAUGCUUAUGGUGGUGGGUAGGCAGUGCUCGGGUGGUAGAACGGCAAUAGCUCUAGCAACUACAUGCAUAGGGAAUAGGGAAACCGUAAGCAGGCUAGGGAUUUUCUCACUUAGAAGGGCUUUUCCCGCACUUAGUGAUGGCGGGAGGUAGCAGUGGUGCUUCGGCAAGAUAUGAACAAUGUUGGUAGGCGCGGCUAUUCGGGAAGGGGAAAACGAGAUCAGUGCAACAUGGGGAAAAAGGUGAUGCACAUGGUUGAAAGGUGAUCUCACCGAGGACGUUGCGAUAGGCUCUUGUGCUUACCAGCACCAAUGAUGGCUCCUUUAUUCCUGACAAGAGAGAGAGCCAUGAGCUCCCUCAAGUUGGAAUAGAAUGGGGCGAGUUGAGGAAAAGGAGUGCAACAGGAAGGUUUAUGCGAGGGUUGCAAGCUCAUUUCAUGGCAUUACUCUAAUAUGGCGACCUCAAGCCGUGUGGUGAUGGAACGGGAUUGUCGGGGGUACCGUGGUAUCAGGGAGGAGCCAGGAGGAUUGAUAGCUUGAAAUCUUUGGUCAGCAUUGAAAGAUUUGGUCGGUUUGACUUAGUCGGCACAAGAGGGACCGUAUACGUUCAACGAUUAGCGAGAAAGAAAUAGAGUAAAUUCCCUGUGUACCCCUGAAAACUCACUCAAUCCCUUUCAUACUCCUAAAAUUUACCCGAUCCCUUCUGUACCCCUGAAAUUUCAAUUUGAUCCCUUCCAUGCCCCUACCGUUACAUUUUCCAUCAUUUUACUGUUACGUUUGGUUGCAAAUGUCUUUUUUGCCCUUGAUGCUUUAGGUUUAAAUAUAAGCUUCAAAAAUAAUUGAAAAUUUUGUUUGAGUGCACAUCGUGUGCAUUUUAUAAAACUAAUGAGACUAAAUAAUUAGUGCAGAAAAUUUUGACAUAAAUUUUGAAAAUAAAAUAAAUGUAAAAAAAAUAAAAUUUUUAUUUGAAAUUUUAAUAGGACAAUGGAUUUUUUUAUCAGGAGCAUUCAUAAAAAAAAAUGUUGUGAACAUUGGUAUACCUAUCUUUAUAUGAAUGCUCCUCAUUUUUAUGACCUUUUUUUAAAAAAAUUAAUACGUAUUUUUUUAUUUCAUUAUCUAAAAAUAUUUUUUUGGGAUAAAUAAUGCAUCGCACAACAAACUCAUAACUAUAAUAGUCUCAUGCGAGAAGCUUUUAUAUUUUUAAUAAUGUAAUUCAUGAAUUUCUUUGUUCAUCCAAGGGUAAAAUGGUCAUUUUUAUAGAAAAUACACGGUCAACUAACGGUCAACUGACGGGAGGGGUAUGCAAGGGAUCAAAAUCAAAUUUUGGGGGUAUAUAAGGAAGUAAGCAAAAUUCAGGGGUAUAGAAGGGAUUAGGAAAAAUUUCAGGGGUAUAUAAGGGAUUUUCUCAAAGAAAUAUGGUGAGAGAUGAGUGUUCAAAGGCGAGUAAAAAAAAUUCUACAACCACAUUGCAUAAUAAAAAAAAUCAAAUAAUAAUUUCAUAUAACUAGACUAGAACAAAGCUUAAGAGGUGAAAGGAGUUUUAUGCUAUGAUUUAGUAGUCGUUGAGACCUAUGUUACUCAAAAUUUUAGACUCAAUCUACGGGGUUUUUUUUUUGCCCACGGGUUGGUGGGUACGGGCGUGUAAAGAACGGACCAUACCCAUGUACCUAACGGCUAAGAGUUUUCGCCCGUCAAUAGACUCAUGGGUAUAAGAGUUAGAACAUGAUUAGCUCCUAAUAGAGUAAAAAUCCGUCGGGUGUCGGGUCACGGGUCCCCAUUGACAUCUUUACUUCCAAGUCAUCAUGCAUGGAAAAAAAAAACCAAAAAUAAUUUAGCGCAUAUGAAUUUAUGUACAUCAUUUUGAAGUUUUCACUACUUCAUUUUCUUCUUGGAUGUUGCGUCGAUGAUGAACAAAUUGAAUGAAGUUAAAUUUCUAUUUCAAUGGUAGAAUUUAAUAAGUUUCUAAUCCAUGUUAAGCUAAUCUUAUUGAAGUAUAAUAUUUUCUAUAAGGUCAUCGGGCUAUGUGAUGUAUUUUGCCAAAAGUCUUCACAGUUUAUUUAUGGGUGAUUUAACUACAAUAAGUGGGAAAAGAUUAUUUGUUUAGAUCUUGGUUUAAAAUUCUAAUUUGACUGAGUUGCUGGGGCAUCACAAUAAUGGUAAAGAUUAUAAAAUGUUUUUGUGAAGUCUGUUUGUUUUACUUCGGAUCGAGUUGUCUUAGCCCCAGGCCCCAGCAUGCUUUGUACCUUUCCUCCAUGUAUGAAAAAUAGUCAUGAGUGUUAACAUUUUUAUGUAUUGUUCGUAUAUUAUAAUAACAUCUAAAAUUUACUAAAAUGUACUUAGUAUUUAUUUGUGAUUAGGAAAAUCAAUUUUGCUUUGAUAAAAGUAUUUUUCCUUGCAUUUCAUUUGCAUAAAAUGUUGUUACGUGGGUGCAUGGUUUGGGAUUAAAGACGUUUGAUUUAUUAUAUUUGCGUAUGCUAUGUUUUGAUUUUCAUUUAUAUGUAAAAUAAACUAUUAAAAUGAGUUUUAACAUUUUAAGGCAGCUAAAUGCGUCCCCUCCCCGGUCCAGUCCCCGGCAUUCUCAGCGGUGACGAGGGAAAGGGUACCCAUCUUAGGAUUUAUUCCAAUUACAUCCUCCUAUUAUCAAUCUAGGAUAUUUCUCCCAUGGUGUUUCUUGAAUCAGGUUUGGUUAAAUUCUUUUGCUCUUUUUACAUCUCUUGUUGGAGGUUAUUUCGUUUGCAAGAUUCCCAGUUCGCCAAUGAAGCAAUCAAUGGCACCACCUUUAAGGUUAGGGUCACCGAUUUGCUGAUUUAUCAAAGGAGUGAAGAUAGUGGCCUGUGUUCCUUGAUUUCUUUGUGUGCAUGUUGGAGUUGGUUAGAGUUGUCUCACUAUCCAUUGUUAAUAAGAGAUUAAGCAGCAAACAAGAGACUAAAAUGUGGUAAAUUUCCAGUAGCAUGGAAGGAAUUUAUCCGUUCACUAAUGAAUGAUUACCGCGUCUAAGAGCAUAGGGGUUUGACGCCGAACAAAGCUAGGCCUAUAUUUUUCAGUUAGGACAAUCUAUAUAUAUUUUUAACUUUUCUGGCAUGAACUUAAUGUGUCUAAUUGUACUUUGCCCCCAAAAGGCCUAUGCCCAAUACCUUGGAUGUAAAGUGUUUUUUUUAGUCAUUUACUCCCUCCAUCUCAGAAUAUAGAGAGUUUUAACCCUUGACAUGGCUAUUAAGGAGAAGGGUAGAAAGACUUAUUUGCCAUCUUAGGAUAGAUGAUGUGCAUGUACUGACUAUAAUUAAAACAAGGAAUAGUUAGGUAAUAUGGGUAGCUUAGUAGAAAAAAUACAACCUAUUACUAAUACUAUUUUGCUAUAUUUGAGACAAAUCUUGAAUUCUAUAAGUUGUUAUAUGCUACAUUUGAGAUAACUUUUGAAUUUUAUAUUUGAGAUAACUUUUGAAUUCUAUAUGAGGUUAUAUUUUAGUACGAAGGGAGUAUGGGAAAAUAUGUAAUGUAGUAGAAACCUAAAAACUACAGUUGGAUUCAAAAAAUAGCACCCGAGUGUAAAUUUUUUACUCUUAAUGACGUGAAAAAAUCUCAUACAUUUAUUUUUUUUAUUUUUAGAUCAAUGAUAAUUAUAAGUUUCUAUUACAUAUGUGCAUUUUUAGGUGCAACGGUAGUUUGCUGGGGGAGAAUUGCUGUUUUUUUUUUCCAGUACCCAAGUUUACACUGCGCCAACAAUACAAGGGAAAUCUUUUCCCAGCAUUUGGGUAAAGUUCUCUCUCCUACUUGGGAGCACCGGAUUUUUUUUUCUCACCUAUAUAACUUUUUCUCAGAAGUUAACACAUGACAUGCUAUGGAAUUGCAUAGUUUACUGCCCAAAACACUGUCCAGGCUACGACAUUGUUCUGUUGUGCCGCAGCAGAAGCAACGAAAAAUAGAACUGAAGCAGUACGUUCUAAGGACUAAGGACUUGUUUAGAUGGGACUAAAACUUUUAAAUCCAUAUUAUAUCGGAUGUUUGGACACUAAUUAUAAAUAUUAAACGUAGACUAUUAAUAAAACCCAUCCAUAAUCUUGGACUAAUUCGCGAGACGAAUCUAUUGAGCCUAAUUAAUCCAUGAUUAACCUAUGUGAUGCUACAGUAAACAUUCUCUAAUUAUAGAUUAAUUAGGCUUAAAAAUUUUGUCUCGCAAAUUAGCUUUCAUUUAUAUAAUUAGUUUUGUAAGUAGUCUAUAUUUAAUACUCUAAAUUAGUGUCUAAAUACAUGGACUAAAGUUAAGUCCCUAUAUUCAAACACCACCUAACAAACUAUAAUCCUGCAGGUCCUAGUUUAGGCCAAAGUUGGCAAUGAACAACCAAUUUGGAACUGAACAGCCCGCUUGAAGAUUUACAACACACAGAUCAUUUGCUACUCCUAAAAGGAGCAUAAACAAGUAUCACAAUUCUUUGUUAACCAAACAAUCUUAAGGUGAUCAACAUUGUGAACAUACAGUGUAACAAAAGCAAGCGUGGACGGUGACAAUCACAAGCAACAGAAUGAACAAAAUAAUGCGAGAAAGUAGCUCAAUAGGAUGACAAUGAAAGUAACACCACGACAAAAAAUUUCCAAGAGUGAAAGUAAUAUUGGUACAUCAAUUGUCCAGGGGUAGGCGCAUAGGCCACCAUGAGAUGAUCAAAAGUCCAUAUAUGACAAGUGUAACAGCUGCCUCAAGGCAAACAAAAAUCGAGGGAAAUGAGGGGGAGAAGAUACAAAAACACGACCAUGUAUACACUCCUCAAUCAGUAAACAUGCAGCUAAAAUGUGAGAUAGAGAAUCCCUAGAAUUUUAAGAGACUAAAAGAAAAUGGGGGAGCUCUACCUUAGCACCACUUAUCUCAACUGUGUGGGCGAGCAGACGAGGCCUGAAGCAUCUGCACCAACCACGGCAAGCUCACAUAUGGUACAAAGCUGCCCUUCGAUCGAAGGAACAAACCGGGAUCCACAGUACGGGCAGGAAACAUCCUUCUGGCCACGGUAGAUUGGAACAUAUGUGGCGCCACAGACAACAAAUGGAUUUCUGUAGUCAUAGUUCAGCUCAGAGCUAUCCUUCUUGCCACUGCACUGCUGCUGCACCUGUCGAGCCCUCCUUGCCUGGGCCUCAUUAGGGUUGUUCUCCAGAAGCAUCCUUGCAAAGUGCUCUGCAGUAGCGAAGUUCUUUUGCUUGUAGCACAGACCCAUAGCGCUUCCAAGCACAAGCCUCAUAUGAACUCUCUGAAGCUUGCAGUUAGUGAAAUAAGCAGCCAAUUCUUGUUGGCGGUUGACAUCAUCUCUCAACUCCUUCCUCUUAAGUUCCAUCCUCAGGCCAAGAACAUACUCCCUCACAAUCUCGAUCAACUCUUUCACUUCAUCCACUUCCCUCCUCGAGUCUACCACGAUAAGAGGGAUGGUAUGCAAGAUGCUAAGGAACUGCCUCAGGGCUUCUGGGAACUUACCAUCUGUGGUGGCCUUAUAGGCAGCCUUGAGUCUGUCUUCCAUUUGUGGGAAGGUGAAAACAAGUGCAGGAGGGCCUCUCACAUUAGGACUUGCAGACUCGCUCCAACCUUUCUCAACAGCAACUGGUAUGAUGGGGGCAGUUGCAAGUGCAUGAAGAUAUGAGUGGCUGCCCAUGUGCAGAUCAAGAAACAGGGGCUUGAGGGGAGCAAAGUUUUUUAUGCCCAACUGGCGACUAAGCAACCUCAUUGCAGUGUCAAAGUUCCCUGCUGCUGCAUGCUCCCCAGCAAGAGAAGAUUUCUGAGUCCAAAUCAGGCUGACAGGCAUGCCUGGUGGAGGAGCAACGAAGACCGCUGAGCGUGCAUUGCCAGCAUUUUUUGGGGUCUCUGCUUCAGGCAGAAGUUCCAGAUCUUCUAGGUCCCAACCACCUUCCUCGCCAUCCUCCUCAUUUGCUUCACCCUCCUCAGCAUCAAAACCGUCACCACCAUUCGCCAUCGCUUCGCUUGCAUCAACAAUAUCCAGGCCCUCAUCACCCCAGUCAGCACCAGCAGCUUCAUCGUCUUCCUCAAGUUCAGCCUUCCCAGUAGCAUCCAGUCCACCCUCAAAGAUACCACGCAUCACCCGAAGCAAUGGCCAAUCACCACUGGCUGUGAGAGGAGCAGGGGGGAUCAAAAGAGAGCGAGCUUUUCCUUCAGGAAGAGAAGGAAUAUUUUCACCCAGCUCAGCGGCAAGCCUAUCAGCAAUUUCUGUGAGCCCAUGGGUGGUAGCAGUAAUAUAGGCAAGAGGUAGCUGUCCAGCAUUCUCUAGGAUCUCAACUCUCUUCAUAGCAUCACCAAGAUACAGAGCAUUGUGGAAUUGACCCAUCAGGUUAUUGUUCUGUCCAGCAAUUUUGCACAUGAACCCCACCUUGUCCAUGUAACCAGUAAUAAGAUAUAGGAAAGCAAGCCUCUCAAAAUUCUUCGUACGUUGGUAUGCAUAUUCCACAAUACCAACAUUUCCCUGCCUCAGGGCCUCAAUUCCCAACCUGUACCAGUGAUCCUUGUCAUCAAUCUCUUUUGCAGAAGCAACUGCGAUUUGGAUGUUACCACUCUCAAGAGCAAGGUUAAAUCUUGUCUUCUCAUCUUUCACAAAGUGGAGGGCAACUUCUGGAAAGCCUUUCUGUUGUAAAUAAGAAAUCACAGCUUGCCCACACAGCUGGGAAUUCUUGAUCAUACUCAUCACAUGAUCAUACCGUUUGCGUAGAAGGGCCAGCUUGAAAAUGUACUCAGAUGCAUCAACUGUGACCAGCUUGUUCUUACCAUCACGAUCUAGACAGAAUAUAUUGUUCCCAAUAACCCUUGUUAUGUAUAUAGGAACAUCGAGGGUUUUAAUAAUUCCACUAUCUCCAUUGGGAAGGCAAUACUUGAUAUGAUUCAGGGUAGUGUAAAUAAACACACCAUUCUCAUCCCAGGCACCACUUUUCACACGAAUGGUUUCGUGCAGUGUACAGCGAUGGACGAGCUUCUUGUUUGCUAUAACCACCGCAUGCUUGCUCAGCAGUGCGACAGAUUCCAUAUCACUCGACCAAACAACAUAUUUAACAGAAGGUGCCUGGAGCUCGCCAAGAAUUAACCUUUGCUGCAGAUCAAAGAUGGUCACUCGGUCUUCGGCUUUGCACAGCAAGCUACCAGUCCCAGCAUAAUAAAUUGCAUCCGUGGCAAUAGGAAGAGGGCUUUUCUUUACAAUUUCGUUCUUAAGAUUCCUCACCAAAACUUGAUUGCUACUCUUCUCAAGGACUGCAAACCUGUUGCGUGCCACGAAAACAGCUGACCCACCAGCCCCCUUCUUUGCAUCCUGCAAAUAGUCAGCCCUGCCAGCAGAAUCCUUGGGAACAAUGUAGAGUUCGUAUGAGCCUCCAUCCACAUCAGAGCAAAUCAGGACAGCAUUUUCAGUUGGACUGUAAGAUAGUGUCUUGGGUGACUGGUUCAAGCUCACUGAUCCAGGUCUUCUUAUUGGAGCAAGCUGAACUUCCUUCUGUGUGGUGAAUUCAAAAAAACGAAGAAAACGGUCCUUCACAUAGAAAACAGUAUCUCCACUCACAGAGAAAGCUGGACGUUCCCUCUCCAAUUUAAACACAAUCAUACCACUGUCAUGACCAGCGGCAAGAAGAUUCAUCUCAGGGUGAGCAGAAAGAAUCCAGAAACGAUCAUGCUCCCGCCUGAACGUUUGAAUACCGGUUCGCUUUGUGGCAUCCCAGAUGCGAAUGCUUUUGUCCUCUGAGUUGGACACUAUGAUGUCUUGCUUUGCAUGGAACAUCACACAGGACACGUUAUUCAUGUGCCCCCGCAAAGUAUCAACUUCCCAAGCCUUGGUGUCUGUCAAAAAACAGCACAUUUAGAUUGCAUCACCUAUUAUCCCUUUAAAUAAUGCAAUGGUGAUAGUGGAAGUGAAUGUUCCACACCCCACAAAGUUUGCAGCACAUCUUUUUUACUUCCUUGAAGUUCUUUAGUUUGUUAAUAUCUUAUUCUCAUCUCUAAAUCAAGUUUAUCACAGAAAGGUCUACGGUGGUAAAACUGACACAUAUAUAUGUAGAGUAAUGUAAAAAUCAUUAGUGCUACUUGUACCUAGAAUAACAAAGAUGAAGGGUGUGUUGAAUGAAAAAGUCAUAAUUCAUUUGUUUCAAACAAUAUUAGCACAUGUACAAUUCAUCUUGCCUGUUGCAAGUAGCAAUGCAUGGUUAUUUAGCUAGUUCAAAUAUUUUGAUUGCUGGCAUGCAUAUACUUUUUAUUUUUUUUAAGUUUGAACAAUAUACAGAAAAGUAAAGUGCUAUACAGCAACAAUAACCACCUUUAGUCCUACUGGCACUAGUUUACUAACUGGAAACAUCUCUUGCAUUCUGCUUGUUUGCUGACAAGUUAGUUCAGAUUAAUGUAGACAUGGGGGAAACGCUAAUUAGUUCUUCUGUCAAAGAAAGACAAAUCAAGGAACACAAAAUAAUUCAUAAUAAAAGCAGAUGCAUAAUUCUGUAGCUCUGUUCUAUGAAAAAUGAUGGAUGCAAACAAAAAUAAUGAAGUUGUUUAUCUAAGGAAAAAAAAGGAUGUAGUAGCAGUAUUACCAUUCAUUCUCCAUAUCUUCACUUGCCGAUCAUCUGCCCCAGAAACAAUUAGUGGCAACGUGGGAUGAAAUGAAGCCCAGUUGACCCCACGAUCAUGCCCUUCCAACACAUAUUUUACAACCGCGUCAACACCUCCAAACAGAUCUGUGUUCAUCUGGGUGAGACGCAGGAUGUCAUCCGCAGGUGACACUGACUUCUUCCUCAAAGCACUAAUAUCCCAGACACGGACAGUCUGAUCAAGAGAUGCUGAAACAACCAGAUCCUCCUUAGGGUGGAAAGAUGCACACAUGACAUAAUGGUUAUGCCCAGUGAGCACAGCCACACAUGUGCGUGACUGCCAGUUCCAGAUCCGGAUUGUCUGGUCAUCACUGGCACUUACGAUCCACGGGCACUCGUGGUGGAAUUGCACCGUGCGAAUGUAGUCAAGGUGGCCAUGAAGCGUGAAGAGGCAACGGUGUGUCUUGUAAUUCCAUACCUUAAUCUUGUAAUCAUCACCUGCAAUGCAUCACGGAAAACUUAGAAGAGUUCAGGAGUUGUUCGAUCUUAUUUUAUGACAGUUCCAAAUCAUAUGGGCCACUGUUAUGCCAACAAUACAGAUGAAACUGGUGUGUGACUUAGUUUCAAGUUCCAACAAUCCAAAUGUUCCAUGAUUGCCAACCCCACCAUUGCUAUGGUAUCAGAAAUACAACCAUGGAAGCUGCUACUCUUCAGUUAAAGCUAUAGAUCGACUCUCAUGUUUGAAAAGAUUGUAAAAUCGAUGGAGAUCCUGCCAUCCUGCUGGUCAUAAACAUGAACCAAAUGGCCCCUGAAGGUUACAAACCAACAAUCCACCGAACAGUUCAGCGUAAGCAGAUAUGAUAAAGCUCGCAAGCACUAGAUCCGACUAACCCAACCCACCAACCAGGAUCCUUGACAACCAACCACCACUCCAAAUCAAACGCGAUCUAAUCGGAUCACAGAGACAACUAGAGGCCUCGAGACGUCCUCCGAUCCAGGGCAGGAUCCGAGCGAAACAAGCAACACGCCACGAAGCCCAUGCCCGCCGCCCCGCGAGGGAGAGAGAUCUAGCGGGUCUACUCACCUCCGGAGACGAAGAGCGGCUGCGUGGCGUGGAAGUGGACGCCGCGGACGGGGCCGUCGUGCUCGUCGAAGCGGUCGAGGAGGGUGCCCAUGCGGUAGUCCCACAUCUGGAUCACCCCGCUGUGGAGGCUGGCCAGGAUCCAUGGCCGCCGCGGGUGGAAGCUCAGCCCCUUCACCCGGUUGCUCUUCGUCUCGAACUUGGUCAGCAUCUUCGCUUGGCCCUCCCGCCCCUGAUCGUCGUCUCCGGCGACGGCGGGCGCGGCGGCGGAGGCGAACCCCUAGCCCCGGAGGCGGAGACGAGCGGAGGAGAGGGGAGGCGCUGGAUCUGGGGCGGGGUGGAGGGAGGAGAGAGAGAGAGAGGAUGGCAUGGUUGUGAGAUUGCCACUUAAGCAGUCACUUCCGAUCUUAGCCGUUCAAGGUGCAAUCAACGGCGGAUGCAUUUCCCUGUUUUCCUAAACACCAGAACCGAGAGAACGGACAAUAUGCCACUCUAUACGUGGGGAUUCGAUAAAAUGCCACUCAAUAUGAUGCACCGGAUAAAAUGUCACUCAGUAUGUUGGUAUCAGGUGAAAUACCACUUUGAACCUAUGUUGAUUUAUUUUUGGAUGAAAAGAAUGCUUGUUGUAUCAAUCAAAUUGGCCAGACGCCCAUUUUGAUUUGAUAUCAGCGUAGUUGGCCCAUUUUGAUUUGAUAUUAGUGUAGUUGGCCCAUUUUGAUUUGAUAUUAUUGUAGUUCAACCGGCUAAAUUUCUUGUGGUAAAACCAACCCCCUAAGUUUAAGUCCUAGUCUUGACGUUAGUGCUUAUAAUUAUGGCUAGUUAUUAUUUUCCAGUGAUAGAUAAUGAACCCGCCAACAAUGAAAUGCUCGUGGUGACUUCGUCAAUCUUACCGACCCAAUCUUUCGGAGGUGCUCAUAGAGGUAAGGUGAGUGCCGUGUGCACGUUAUAAAUGCUUGUGUUUGUACUGUGUUUCAAAAAAAUAUAUGCCUUACCAAAUUAUUGAUACCUUAAAAGUACUUUAGUUCCUAUUAAAAAGCACUUUGGUUAGUGUUUGGUUUGCUAUUAAAGUGUUCCAAUAACACAUGUCUAUAUUGCUUUUUUAAAAAAGUUAGUGCUCGUAGUGAACUUGCCACAUCACCUACUCUCAUUAUAAAUUUUACAAAAUACCCUUUAUUAAAUGUAUUAAUAUUAAGAAACAAUCAAAUCUAAAUGAAUAUCUGUCAGGAUUACGGAUAAGACAUAUCUCGUAUCCUACAAUUAACCAAGUAUAUUAGAUCGGUAUACCUCAUAUCCCAAGAUAUGUUUCUAUAUGCGAUAAGGACAUAUAUAAAAUAUUAUAGGAAAUAUCCUUAUGAGCUGGAGACUACUAGAGUCCUACUCGGGAAGGACUAGGACUAUUCUAUAUCGUGCAGGGUUCAUUGUUUCCGAGUUCAACUUGGAGACUAAGGCAAUCCACGGUAUAAAAGGCAUACCCCUGGAGGGGUUCUGGAUUAUCGAAUCAUAGCGCCAACACGCCGACCAUAGUUUUCGAAGCCGAAGGACCCAAGCUGAAGCCGCCGGGAGAUCUCAUCGAACAAUCUCGACUAGGGUCUCGUCGGUCUCAACGAGUUCGUAUGUUCUCUCUGUAUUCUGUGGUCUUCCAUAUCAAUCCCAUAUAAACUGAAUUAGGGUUAUUAUUUUACGAGGGGCCUUAACCAAUAUAAUCAUUGUAUUUUGUCUAUUUUAAUGUCGUAUCGUAUAGAUCAUCGUACCAACAUACCCUAAUACCCUAUUUAUCUGGUCUACGGGUAUCCCCCGUUGACAAUAUCCAUAUAUAAAAUCAAAAUAAGGGGAAUAUUUCCUAUAGAAAAGGAAUGAGUAACACAUUUCAUGAAAAAUUUAUUUUAGAAAAUAUUGUAAUGUAUUUUCUUUUAUCCGUAGCAAAACAUAUAUAUUCAAUUAGUAGAUAAAAACAAAUUGGCAGUACUGAAAUUUGCAUGUGUUGACAUUGCUAAUAUUUUGUCAUGGUAGCAAACUAAAUAAGCCCACCAUCUUGCCAAAAUUUUGUUUAAAGAGUGGCCACGUCUUAGGCAAGAUAGUAAAUAUUAAACCAUGGCAUGAUUGAAUAGCUGCUUUUAAAAAGUUAGGAAAGUAUAGUAGAAAUUAAGCAAACACCCUAUGCUUCUGUUGUGUCAAUGAUUUCUUAAGACAGAUUUUUGAUGGUACACCAAAGCUUCAGUGUAGAGGAUUAGGAUUAGUGACUUUAAUUAGACAUGUUGUUUUGCGUCGUGACGGAGGUUCAAACGUCCCAACGUCAAGAAAACUAACUUCCCAACUUUAGCAAUUGAUUGCAUGCUGCUCUCUUUGAAGUUUGGACCAUACAUACAUACAUACAUACAUACAUACAUACAUACAUAUAUAUAUAUAUAUAUAUAUAUAUAUAUAUAUAUAUAUAUAUAAUAAGCUAAAAUUGGAACGAUGUGAUGAAAAAGUUGAAAGUUUAUGUGUAGAAAGUUUUGAUGUGAUGUAAAAGUUGGAAGUUUGAAGAAAAAAGUUGGGAACUAAACUAGGCCUUAGGUUUAAAAAAAUUGCAAGUCAAGAUUUAAAACUUUUAACUUAGUUUUAAAAACUUUCAAGUGAAGAUUUUAAACCUUAACUCAAAUUUAAAAACUUUUAACUAAAAUUUUGAAAGCUUUUUGGAUUUGAAACAAAAUCAGAUCAAUAUUUGAAAAAUAUCAACUCAGGUAUGAAAACUUUUAAAUCAAAAUUAAAAACUUUCAUCUUAAAAUUCAGAACGUUCAAAUAAAAUUUGAAAACUUUCAUACCAAAAUUCAAAAUAUUCAACUCAAAUUUAAAAAAACUAUCAACUGAAAUUGGAGAUGAGAAUAUUUAAUUUCUAAACUAAAAAAAUAGUGAAAAAAGUCAAAAACCGCGUCUGGUCAAUUAGCUUUGGAAAGAGUACGAAUUACCCCCUCACCCACCCCGUACUAUCGUGGUUGACCGAAUUACCCCCUAAACUCAAAAACCAGAUAUCUCUCACCAUGAACUUUUAAUACCGGAUAAGUUACCCCCCUCGAUCCAAUCCAUUGUAAGCAAAGAAGUCAUCUAAACUCGAAUAUUGGAUUUCAAAUCCCGUCUGGUUUUCGCGCCUCGAUCAAUGAAAUCUCACUCUAAUACUGAAACUUUCAGGCUCUCGAAACACUCACUUCAUAGCACAUAAUAUGCUAUGGUCCUUCAACCCUUCACAACCAAGACUAUCGACGACUCAACAAGAAAAGAAAUUGACAACAUUAAAUAUUUUUUACAUAAUAACAAAUUUUAUUGAAGUUAAUCAAUUACAUAAAAACGAUAACCAUCAAUACCCUUUUACAGUAUCAUAUGUCAUACACUACCCGAAUUCCCGAAACCAUGUUCAACGUUCCUUUCCAUUCAGACAGAUCCAGCAGGCUCAGCCUCCUCUCGGUUGCACAGCACAACACUAGGCAUAAAAUCUCAUCAUCUUCUUCUCGUUUUCCACACGCAUGCUUUUCAAACUGCUAAACGGUGUUUUUUUUAAAAAAAGCUUCAAUACGAAAGUUGCUUAAAAAAUCAUAUUGAUUCGUUUUUUAAAAAAUUAACAAAUACUUAAUUAACCACACGCUAAUGGACGGUUCGAUGAACGCAUCAGGUUGGGAAGCCAGGCUUCCGAACGCAGCCUAAUCCAGCGGCGGAGUACUGCCCAGGAGAAGCGUUCUGAACACAUGCCCCCUCCUGAAACGGCAGGAACAUGGACGUGGGCACGUAACAGCCUGUGAAUGCAGCCAAACACCGCUGAAAAUUCCCAACAAACUUCGCCCGUUUCCAAAGGCUGCUACGACUUCACCAUAAACAAAAGUCACCUACCCACAGCAAGAAGCACUCACUGAUGACUAAUCCCUGAGAGAACUUAUCAGCUAAACACAAUCAAGUAGUGUAAUCAACAGCUGGAACAGAUUUUGCCCAGCACUCCAUCCAUCCGUUCCGAAAUAAACUACACUAAAAUAAAUAAUGUGUUAUUUAUAUGACAGUACCUUGUCGCAAAAUAAAGAUAUUUCUCCACAUAUCUCCUCCUAUCAACCAGUCACAACCAUUUUCUUUCACCCAUUUUUAUCUUCUUAACCAAUUACACCCUUCCUCUAAUCAUUCUUACAUAUUUUCUUAAUAUCUAUAUUAACCCUAUAAAUACUUAUUUUUUGAAAUAGAGAAAGUAUAACAAAUAUUGAUAUAUCCUUAGUUUAAUUUAUUUUAAAACGGAGAUAUAUCUUAGUUUUUUUUUUUGCGUGACAGCCUGACAGGCAAGCGUGAGACAGACCCCGUGAAUGUGUGAUGCCCCCCGAGUGCCCAGGGACCCUACCUACCUCCACCUGCGACAGCUGCUGCUGCUGCGUGAAGGCACGCCCAUGACGAACCUAGGACCUCGUCUUCAGUGUCGCCAUCACCCGGCAGCACAUGAGCACACAACAACUUUGAUCAUCAUCAUCACCAUUGUUAUGCAUCUUAUCCGGUGGAGAUUGGAGAAACUGAUUGAGAUCCUCCUCGUUGUCGUCGUGGAUGGAAGGAGGCCUUCUUUCUUUCUCCGCGUCAGCAGGCUGAUCGCUCAGUUUCGGUCCAAAAGCAAAAGAGAGAGAGACAUCGCAUUCUCAGAUUCUCCGCAUCGUCUGUGGUACAGGAAAUUUGCGUGGAAAAAUUGGUCGCCGAGCAGGUGAGCGAGCGAGUGACCGCGAUUUCGGUCGUGUUCUUGUCCGUAAGUCUGUCCGAAUUUAUCAGAUUGAUGCUGCAGAUUGCGUUCAGGUCUUUCGACAGUCCAACUGUAACAUCCGCGGUUCAUCACACUGUAACUUCACACGCCAACAGCUCAGACAUUUCUACCAGGAGACGAAACGAAUAGAUUGACAGCUCAAGACACGCUAAGCAACGAUAUUGGAACACUUCAUCAACAAAACUCGGGUCACCUUUGGAAGCUAGUAACUGUACAGGAUUUUCACCGGAACUAGUUCAAUUCCCGUGAGAAAAUCCUCCGAAAAUCCUUAUUCCAUAGGAGGGAUCAAGCUGAAGACGAUGGGCAUUGAUCAUCCUUAUGGAUCAAGCUGAAGACAAUGAGCAUUGACCAUCAUCAAUUUUGCAGCAGGAACAACAGCAAACAACAGGGAAGCAGUGAGUCCUUUGCAGUUCUUGCUUGAAAUCAACCACUACAAUGUCAAAAGAUCUAGGCAGAAGCUAAAAUGAUCAAUGAUCAAUACAGUCAUACACUGAAACAAGAAGCACAAACCCGGACAGUAUCUCCCCCGAAUCAAAACGAUCAACUAAAAAUUGCAUUGCAAUUUCUGGGCGUGCGUGACAACAGAUACAGGAUACACCACCGGGAAGCAAAGGCUGCUCCGGCGACAAAAGGGUAGCAGCAACACCACGAACUGAAAACACACCACCUCCGGCGGCAACCGGCAAUCGCCGUCGUCGUCGCCGUCAUCGUCAUCGUCCAGCACCUACACACGCUCCUCCCUGAAUUAGAACAACACGAACGGAGAAAGAACUCCACAUGAAACAACAGCAGCAGCAGCAGGAAACUUGAGUGAAAUGUUAGCGAUUCCUCUUUCGGCCUUGGGCUUGGGCGUCGUCGUCUCACACGAAGCCGACCUCGGCGAACUGCGGGCGCGGCUUGGCCGUCGCGCCGGGGCGCGUCGGCGGCGGCGGCACCAUCCCUUCCGGGAGAGGGUUCUUGCGCGGGCGCCCUCGCGGGCGUGGGAUCUUGGGCGGCGCGUGCGGGUCCCGCGGCUUGGGCGGGCGGCCACGCCGGCGCGGCACGGCGGGGGCGGCGGCGGCGACGGAGCCGUCGACCGGCGCACCGACGGGGACGGGGACGGGUGCGGCGGCGGCGGGUACGGCCGGGUAGCCCGGGGGGCGCACCUUCGGGGGACGGCCGCGGCCUCGCUUGGGCGGAGGAGGCGGCGGUAAGUCGUCGGCCGAGUCAUCAUCGGCGAGGAACUCCUCCUCCUCCUCCUCCUCCUCCGCCACCGCCGCCGCCGCCGCCGGAUCCGCCGGCGGCGGCGGCGGAGGAGUCGGGCGGAGCGCGUACUUCCCACCCGCGACGGCGACGAGCUCCCCGGCGGCUGACAUCCGGGAGAGGUGCGCCGCGACGAGCGCGGGGUGCGACGGCGGGAGGAGGCCGCCGCCGCCGCGGGCCGCCUCGAUGCGGCGCGCGAUGGCGGCCUGGCUAGACCCGUUCUCCUCCGCCAGCGACGCGAUCGCCUCCACGAUCAUCUGCAGCAAAGAGAAGGAGAAGACAACCCAAGAAACCCGGUCAAUUCCGCCACAGAUCUGGGCAUCUGGCCAGGAACAGCUAGGGUUUAGAAAGAGAGCGUGCCUCGGGGUAGGAGGGGAGGACGAGGUCGGCGGCGCGGUGGCCAGUGGAAGUGGAGGUGGCCAUGCCUGGCUGGCUGGCUGGCUGGCUCCCUCCCUCUCGUAGGGUUGGGGUGGCGGGGGCGAGGGGCGCUGUCUCCUUCCGGCGUUGGUGCUGCGCUGUGCGCGUGUGGGAUUUGGGGCCGCCGCGACGCGGAUCUGAGAGGAGAAGGGGGGUUGUGGUUGUGGUCUUGUGGAUGUGGGGGGGAAUGGAAUGCAAGUACAGUUUAGACAAGGAAUCUGUCGGGUGGUACCGGGCCGGACGACCGGUCGCGGCUGCACGCUCUACUCCUCCUGUGACUCCGGUCCGGUUUAGGGGGUGUUUGGGAUAGGAACUUCUUUUUUUUUUAGAGAGAGAGAGAGAGAGUUUAGCCCCUCUCUCCCAAACAGCCCCUUAGUCUAUUCGCAAGCUUAAAUUCUACUCCCUAUGUACUAAAAAAAACUCAAUUUAAAAGAGAGAAAAAAACAGCUAAUGAGAAGCUCCUUUGUCGUGCAGUCUUGUACCUAGCUUUGAUCGCUUGUCUUAUUUAUUUUUUAAAAAAAUUAAAAACAUAAGUCAUGCAUAAAGUACUAUUCAUAUUUUAUUAUCUUAUAAUAAUAAAAAUACUAAUUAUAAAAAGUUAGGUACGGAAACUUAUGGUUGCAUUUAAAAUAUGACGGAUGUAGUAGUUGGUAAUAAUUUGGAUAAGCUAGGAAACUCAGCUUCUUCUAGUUUCUAAUUCAUUUUAUGAAUUCUACAACUAUAAUUUCUUAAAAUCUAAAUAAGAACCUAAAUUGUUUAAGAGAGCCUCUAGCAGCUGAGGAUUUUAGAAGAAACUGCAGCUACGAAAACUUCUGCAAACAUACCCUCUCAGUCCGGUCUUAGUCUCCGGUCUUACUCCGGUCUGAUCGGGCUGGUUCGGCCGGCUCGGUUCAGUGAGCUGGUGAUUAGUAUACUAGUAGGAUUAAUAUAUACAGUGAUAAGCAUUGUUUGAGUGGUAAAGUGGUUUGGCUAAUUGGCUCGUAUGGUCGCAUCUGGUUUGUGGUUUGUGAAAGUGUCAACUGGGCAAAGGAUAGUCUCAUCAGAUGCUGGCGAGUUUGGCGGUCGUUUUCACGUGACUUGUGACGGUGGUGGUGUUGCGUGGUAGCAACAGCUGGUUGAUCCUUUUUUUGUUACUAGUUUGGCUAAUAGUGGAUUUUAUUUAAUCUCUGGUUUCUUUAUUAAAAAAACUUUUAAGCUCUGAAGGGGUCAAUAUCGUUUGAGUGCCUAUUUACUUUGAUCAGCGGAGGCUCAUAAUUUGCGGUAACUGGUGCUCUCUUUGUACAGCUUUAAAUUCAAAAAAAUUUUGAGUUAGAUUUUCCUAAGAGCAAGUACUAGAAGCCUCUAAACACAAGCCCAAUAUAUCAUGUAAACUUAGAUAAUAACGUGGAGGAGAGAAAAAGAAUAGAGAGAUGACUAGAGUAUCCACUUCUUAUGCAAGGAACAACCUCCAUAGAAACUCUAAAAAUAAUAGAGAAAGAGAUAAAUUGAUUGGUGAAAAAUAUAUUGGGACUAGUGUCCUACAGGCAAUAUACUGUAUAUGUUAGUUUUUAAAUUUAAGAGUAUAUAAUAUCGAUAAAUAAGAGCUGAUCACUGCCUCUACUAUAAAACUUGAUCUAACUUAAUAAAUCCAUAGAUCUAGAACUAUGAUUACGUUGAUAACAUUUGAAUAAAACAUUCUGCUUUCAUUUCAAAUGAAAUUUAAAAUUUUAAAUAUCUAUAACAUGCAAACUUAUUUUUUUCUGUGGAUCUGAGAUAUGAAUCUAUACCAAACAUGAUAUAGGUAGCCGAAUGUCCAUGAUAUUUACUAUAACUAAAACCUUGAAUGUUCAUGCCAAGUGUAAGAACAUCUUUAGACCUUUUCAACUCUGUUCAUACCGUUUUAUAUAUAGAUACUCGCACACAAUUUGCGUUUUUAAUAGUAUUUUACUCACAUUAGGGAUUAGGGAUUUAUGGUUAGUCUUUGUCUAUUAUGCAAAGAAUGUGUUAGAGAACGCAUAUCCAUGUUACAUGUGCGUAUUAUUAUAAAAAAAACUUUAGUCAUUUCAUUUUUUUUAAAUCCCCGUUUGCUCUUUCCAAAUAAAUGCUUCUACUCAUUUAUUGGAAACAAAUGCUAAUUCUGUCACAAAUUAGAAUAACUCAUUUUCCCGAUGCAGUAUAAAAAUGAUGCGCUUAUUUACUGGGGUUAUUUUCUUCAUUUUUUUAAACAACUAUGCGCAUGUAAAAAGAUAAAAAGAGAUUUAUUUAACGUGCAGUCCAUUACUUCAGUGGGCCGCGUUCUGCGCGAGAAAAGGAUUGGAAAAAGUACACCGAAGGUCCCUCAACUUGGCAAUGGGAUACAAAACAUCCUUGAACCGUAAAACCAAAUAUGCUGGGUCCGUUAACUAUACAAAACUAGUCAUCAGAGGCCCUUCCGCGGUUUUUAUCCGUGUUUUAGUCUACUUGACGGCUGAGUCAGCGUGGGACCUACGUGGACCCCACAUAUCAGCUGGGCACGUCAUCACCCUCUCCCUUUCUCCUCUCUCUCUCUCUCUCACUCUUCUCUUAUCUUCUGGCGACUGGGCAAGCCGGCCGGAGGCGACGGCGCAGGGCGGCCCAAGGGGCACCUCUUCAACCGGGCGCCGUCGCCGCACCAGAAUGGCGGCCAGAGCAGGCGAAGCGGCGACGGUGGCGGGCGAGCACGGUUGCGGAGAGGCGGCGUCGGCGGGCGAGAGCGGUGCGGCAUCGGCGGGCUGGAACGAUGCGACGUCGGCAGGCGAGAGCGGUGGCGGCGGAGGGAGCGUGCCUGCUCAUUGGCGACGUCACGGGCGCGCAGCUCCCGGAUCUCGUCCUCCCACCUCUCCACCCUCUCCUCUCCUUGUGGAUCCUGCACACGCCAAAUUCACAAACAAACCAGAUUGCAUCGAUUGAUUAUGCUGCUCGUCAUCAAGCAACCAACCAAACCAAUUAUUUUAUUAGCGGGUGUGUGUGUCCAUGGCCAUGGCUAUGGAUGGUGGUCUUACGAGCAGAGGCGAUCCUCGAAGUCGGCGGCGAGGUUCUUGAACAGCUCAUGCCCCGCCUCCAGCAUCUCCGACACCUGCAUUGGCAUUGCAAUCUCAUCGAUCGAUGAAAAAUUCAGAAUGACAAAUAGCGAAAUCAAUGAAUGGAGAGAGGUGGACCUGGCGAGUGAAGGCGUCAAUGGCGAGGAGGAUGCGCUGCACGUGCUCCUCCGUCUCCGCCGACGCCGCCACCACCUCCUCCUCCUCGGCGACGGCCAUGUCGUCCUCCGUCUCCGUCAUGGGCCCGGUGGUGAUGUUGACGGCGACCCCGGAGGAGGCCGCCACUCCCCCUCCCGCGCUCCCCUGGCUCAACCAUCUCCUCCUCUCCCUGUCCUCCGUUGCCCUGCACGCAUCCAUCCAUCCAUCCAUCCCAAAACUCAGAUCAGAUUGAGCCAUCAAAUUUUCGACCCAAAUCAAAAAUCAAAUGCGCCUCAACAACUGAACUGAUUGAGACAGUAGAUGAAAUGGAACAAGUCGAUCGGAACGGAAUCGCGUGGCCUUGGUUCGAUCAAAGCAACGAACGCAGCUGACGACCGAAUCCAAUCCCCCAGAACGAACGCAGCUGCAUGGACUCGCGGACCACGACCGCCGCCGCCUCUGCUCCAUCGAUUCCCGGGUGCACUCGCCGCCAACACCUCACCCGCCGCCAACCACGACCGCGCGGCCAGCCCAGCCCCGCGUGAGCGCCGCAUCCACGACCGCCUGCCGCUGGUCUCCCGCGCGGUCCGCCGCCUGCGCCAUCCUUUCCCCAUGCCGGAGAGUGUGAUCGGGGAGGACGAGCCCGCCACCGCGUUCACCCGCCGCCGCCGCCUCGCCCUUCCGCCACCCUCCCCUUCUCCCGUGCUGCAUCGUCGGCCGUCGGAGAGAAGAGUGUGUGAGAGAGAGAAACAGCAGAAAAGGGAGAGGAGGGAAAAGAUAUACUGACAUGUGGGACCCACGUGGGUCCCACGCUAACUCAGCCACCACGUAGGCCAAAUCCGGGAUCAAAACCGCCGAAGCACCUCUGGUUCUGUACAGUUAAGAGACCCUGUAUAUCUGGUUUUGCGGUUAAGAUGUUUUUUUAUCCCGUUGACAAGUUGAGGGACCUUCGGUGUACUUUUCCCAAAAGGAUUCGGCGAGAAAAACAAGAGUUCGUAGGCCCAUCAGCCCAUCCCAUGAGCCCACCUAGAAAAAAAAAACCCUAAAACACGCCUGCCGUUUUGAUCGGCCCAAGCCACCAUCGCCAGCCAACCACAGACUAGAGGAGAAGGAACACUUCGCCGGCGACGGCGGCGGCGGCGGCAUGGCCUUCUGGCAGGCGCGGGACUUCCUCUUCUGCGGCGUGUGCGGCACCCUCCUCAAAUUCGACUCCGUCCGCUCCGCCUCCUGCCCCCUCUGCGGCUUCAAGCGCAAGGCCAAAGGUCGUCGUCUUCCCCAUCUCUCUCCCUGCAAAGCCCUGGGCUGUGUUCUUCUUGCGGCUGAUGCCUUCGUUCUCUUUUUUUACGGCGCAGAUAUCGAAGGGAAGGAGACGCGGUACACGGUCACGGCUGAGGUGCGGCCGAUUGCUCUACCCUCUAGCUCGCGCGAAACCCUGGGCUCGUCUGUUUCAGUCGCGACCGAUUUUGUUUCCCCUCAAGUAUCUAAAAUCCAUAAUGCGAUUCAUUCAGUGUAGUAAUCCUAGGAGAUAUAGUUUAGUUUGAUUUACGCGAGGAGUAUAUAUGGUUGUGCGGUGGAGCAAUCCAGUCUUGUGGUUUAGGUAAAAGGACGGUUUCACUGUGUCGUGCUUCAGUAUCGUAUUUCAUAUAGAGGAAUGGCUUGGUGAUUAUUGAAUCUACAUGGCAGUGCACUUUAGUAGAUUUUUAGUUUUACAAAUAUCCAUGCUGCCUUCCUUGGGAUAAUGCAAUGCAUCUCUUGGGAGCUACUCCCUCUGUUCCAAAAUAUAAGGAUUUCUAGGUUGUUUAGCAAGUACUCUACUAAGAUUAGGUCAAAAGAUUUUUUUUUUCUUUAUUCAUUGCAGUUGUCAAUUUUUGAACUUUGAUUUUCUUAGAUUCCCUUCUGAAGCAUCUGAUUGGCUCUGCGAUCAUUGAAGUGAUGGGAAUCAGUGCAGAAAUGCUUAUAUUGUGGUACAACAUUUGAAUCCUAGAAAUCCUUAUAUUUUGAAACGGAGGGAGUAUUGGUCUGAGAUUUUAUUUUAUGUGCUGAGAUGACUCAAAUGGCAAUAUCCUCAUGCUUUCACAUGCAUGAAUCAACUGUGGUAAUGGAAUAGUAUGAGUUGUAGGCAAACAUCUUAUGGAGCAGCAAGGUAAGAUGUAUAGUGAUUUUCUGGCUUGGCAUUUGUAGGCUACUCUGAGUCUCUGAUUAAGUCCUAUGCUCCAUACUUGUACACUUCUAGUACUUAACAAAGACAUAGCACCUAAAAGGUGCCAAAUGAACAUUUUAAUUUUAUGGACCACAGGUCCUGCCUUUUUAAUGAACUGUGCGGUUUCUUGAAUCUUGUCCCAACCAUUUAUAUCAGAUAUGAAAGAAGAUUUCCAUGGCUAUUUAUAUGUAGUUGACAUUUUGCAUGCUGUUGACAGGAUAUUAGAAGAGAGCUAAAACUUGAUCCAUAUGUGAUUCUUGAAACAACACUGAAGGAGGAAGACGUAAUUGUCGAAAGAGCUACAGUAAGUUAAGCUUUUUCAUCAAUAUAUAGUCUGAUAGUAUUUUGUAGUUCUGCACAUAUUCAUAAAUCCUUUUCUGCAUUAGGUAAAUAAAGAGUGUGAAAAAUGCAAAAAUCCUGAACUUCAGUAUUACACCAAGCAGGUCAGCUAUCGAUCCUUGAACAUUUGAUGUUCAAUAAGCUUAAUUUUCCUUUUUCUAGCUUUGAUGCUUAACUACUUUAUGAAAAAUGUGUAAUUGCAGUUACGGUCAGCAGAUGAGGGGCAAACUGUUUUCUAUAAGUGCGCAAACUGCAGGCAUGAGUUCAAUGAGAACCAGUAGUCACCUUAGAAUGAGCUUUUUGAUCACUUCUACGAUUGUGGUCUAAAAAAUGGCCAUGCUUUGACAUGACAAGUGAUUUUGAAAUAUUUUUUUUAUGCCUUUGCUUGAAUUAUGACAAGUAAUGGUGUGUUCGGGAGAAGGGUUUAGGAACCUCUUCCCCGUGCAUGGAAAACGGGGUGGCUUAUUAGUGCAUUAUUAAUUAAGUACUUUAACGCAUGGUUUAGCAGUUUGCCAAAAACAUUGUAUGUGCUUGGAAAACGAGGGAGAAGAAGUUGGUAAAGUGUAGUAUAGAACAUACCCUAAAGAAUCACAUUACUUUGGGCCACAUGUCCAAUCCUCAAUCAUGCUGUUUUUCGCGGGUGCUAAUUGCACAUAACCGAAGUGUUUCUGUUUUCUAAAGAUUAUUAACCUGAAACUGCAUUUUGGACCUUACGGUGCUCAUAUGAGCUCUCUUACUUCCCUCAAAUCCUUUAUGCCCUCAACCUAUGCCAUUUCAACCUGUUCCAUAAAUCAUACAUGUUCAGCUUCUAGGAGAUAUGGCAUUGUUUGCUAACUGCAAAAAUGAAAAGGUGUAUAAGAAAGGCUCGUAUGGUUUGAGGGGUGUACUCUUGUCAGCACCAGGAUUCCAAAUUUUGCGAUAAAUGGGUGCGUAUCAGUAGCGCUGUGACUCCCGGUAAGAGCUCAUCUUGAGAGGUUUUCUGUUGUCGUUUCAAAUCAUUUUCUGUUGGGACUUUCAGGUUAUGACCAAGUUAUCAAAUCCAGUGAUUAGUUUUUUUAAGGAGAAUUUUUUCUUAACUAGUUCGAGAUGAAGCUGGGACAAAUUCGCAGUCCCAAUUCCUGGUCUAAUGGUCUAUAUGAAUUUCUGGCUAUCUUGUUCUUGAGCUCGAGACUGCAGCUUGUUUGGUUCACGUUCUGGUUGCUCAUGCCGUGCCGAGCACUCGUGCUACCUCCGUCCCAAAAUAAGUGCAGCCAUUGAUAUUCGUGCCCAAUAUUUGACCGUCCGUCUUAUUUGAAAAUUUUAAAAAUAUUUAGUCACAAAGUACUAUUCAUGUUUUAUCAUCUAAUAGCAAUAAAAAUACUAAUUAUAAAAAAAAUUUAAAUAAGGCAAACGGUUAAACAUUAAACGUGAAUAGUAUAAAAUUGCACUUAUUUUGGAACGGAGGGAGUAGUAUUAGCUAAAGCUGAUUGUGGUAAAGAGCCAAAGAGGUCAGAUGAGCAGUCAUGCUCAUGCGUGAUCAGAAUUCAGAAGGAUUUGAAAUCCUUUGCUCAGUUUGUUCCCCUUUUCCCAACUCCUAUUUCUCGUUUUCCGCGCGCACGCUUUUCAAACUGCUAUUUUGGUGCGUUUUUUUUAAAAGUUUCUAUAUGAAAGUUGUUUAAAAAAAAUCAUAUUAUUCUAUUUUUUUAAAAAAACUAAUAACUAAAUAAUCACGUGCUAAUUGAUUGCUAUGUUUUUCGCGCGGAGGAGUUUGGUUCCCAACCAUCCGAAACGAACACAAGGUCCGCAAAAUGAACACUUGUACACUAAAAUUUUGGCGAGGCAUACUCAUUUCAGAUUGCCGUAGGGAUGCGAAAUGCAUCGCGAGACCCAGCAUUUGUGUACGUGUAUGAGAAUCUCCUACGUGGAUGGUCACUGUGAAAGGCCUUAGAGGCAAGGGGUUGUAUGUCAGUUUUUUACUUGCAACGUUUAACCACUUGUUUUAUUUAAAUUCUUUUUGCAAAUAUAAAAAACGAAAAAUUGUGCUUAAAGUACUUUAGAUAAUCAAGUAAGUCACAAAUAAAAUAAUUAAUAAUUUCAAAAAAAUUUAAAUAAGACAAGUUGUCAAACGUUGCAAGCAAAAACUCAAAAUCCCUUAUAUUAUUAUAUGACAGAGGGAGUAGUAGCAAACCUACAUUAUACAUAUUACCUCAUAAUUUAUUGGUUGUUAACAGGAAUGAAAUUAGACGUAAUAGCCACCUCCACUGCAAAACUUAGGCAUUCACCAUUCUCUACGAGAAAAGAACUCAAGACCGCGCAGUCUCCCGAGUUCCCUCGAUUGGUAAAGAUACAGUGAAUCCAUUGACUAACCAAGCGAACCAAACAGAGCAGUAUACUUGCCCCGAGAAAAUUUGAGCACUGCUAUUUAACCAGAUUUAUACCCAGUGAAUGGUAUUUUGAAGUGUUGAUAGUUCCGAGUACAGGGAUACCUCCGAGAUGACAGGAACUUCAUUCGGUCAUUCCCAAUCACAUGCCACAAUGAAAAAUUGCUCAGACCAUCUACAUCUUCAAGGGUUCUAUUUGCAUACAGUAACCUUGACCAAAUCUUGGUGGCACCCAAGGCCGAUGAAGUGCGGUAAGAGAAGGGAAAAAAACAGCGCUCCUAGGUGACGCAUUCCAACUUAUGGUCAAGGAUGUUUCAUCGAUGAUGACACGGGAAUUGUUCGAAAACAAGCAACAUCAAAACUGUACUCGGCUCCGCGAAAUGUAGGAACAACCUCAAUAGGAACAAGCCCAUGCCUCACACUUUCAUCUGCAACAUUUGUAGUUACUACUGGAUUAAACCAUGAAACAGCAUCACAAUAUGACAUUUGACUGCUCAUAGAAGAACUGGAAAUACUUACAUGUACAAGAUCUACACCACGCGAGCACCUUGUAAAUUGUUUGGUUACUUCAAAUGAAUAAAUUCCGAUAUAACACGAACUGCUACGUCUCAGAUUUCGUUGGUGGAUCAUCCUUCAAUCCUUUGGUGAGCAAAUCGUAAUUGAUAGAGACAAGUUGUGAUAGAUUCUGCAGCAAAAGAAGUUAGAACGGUGUGCAGAAUAUAGGCACAAAUGGGCUAACAAUAAGUUUUCUACCCCUACUUUUAAGGAUUGAUACUGUCAAUGAAACGUGACAAUCACAAAUUUAAUGAGAAUAAAAAAGAAUAUGUAUUUGUUUUGUUGGACUGCUAGACACUAAGAACUUUGGUUUGUCUUUGUCGACACUUUGCCCAAUUCCUUUUUUCCACUCAUUGUCUCGCUGGCCCACAUGUCAGUGAGCCAUCAGUGAUAAAAUAUUCAGUGGAUUUUUAGAUUAUGUAUCACAAGGAUCUAGGUGCUAUUUUAUAAUGAACAUUGUACUAUCGUUUACUGUGUGGAACAAUUUUGCCACAUUCAAGGGAAUCAUCAAACUACAUUUUACAAAGCACGUGCUUGUGAAGUUGUGAGCAUAUAAGUUGACUGACGGAUUACUAGUAUGAUUCAUACCAAUAGCAUUAAAUAUCUAGCGAAGUUAUUCCAAUGGUUUGAGCUAUAUUACAGUACUGUGUCUAGCGAAGUAGAGAUGUGACUACUAUGAUUUGAAGCAUAUUGUAACUGAAAAAGGUGUUAUUACUGCUUGGUAAUGCAAAUACUGAGGACCUGUUCGUGAGUAAAUACAAGGGAAAUGUAAGGAGCUGUGGGUAAACUUUUCUGCCCGUAAGUGAAGGACAUGCAUUACACAUUACACGUUCAUUUUAAAAAAGGAUCCAUCAUGGUUACUCAUGCUUCAAUCAAUCACAUUAUGAACAUGAAACAAAAUAGGUGGACUGUGAAGCCGUAGGCUUACUUUGACUGAGAAAUUGUAAAGAAAAAAAGGAAUAGGUUAUCCACCGUGAUAACACCAUCAUGCUUCAAUUAUUUUAAGGAUAUAAAUAUGUGAAACUGUAGGAUUACCUUGAAUGAGAAAUUGCUGAAAGAAUAGUUGACAUUUGAGCUAGAUUCAAACUCAGUGAAGCCACUAGACUCAUCCCCCUAUUUGCACAAUUUGCACAAUUGUUUAGUAAAAUGACUGAAGAAUAAAAAGGCAGACAAACAAAUUGUAGUUUUCUUUUCCUCUACUUAUAUAAAUGCUGAUGAUUCAUACCAUAUCAUCUUGGUGAUUGCUCACACAGCUACUGCUGCCACUAAGGCUUCCAUUAUCACUGGAAUCCUCAAAUUCGUAUGCUUCAUAGAUGUUUUCGUCCGAUGGAUUCCAAGAAUAACGGCUGGUGAAGUAGCUCGUGUCAAAUGCACUAUCUGAGGAGGGGACAAAGGCAGCCUGCAUAUGAUUCCGUGUUAUCCUCGGUACACCUUUACAAUGGAGAUGCAACUAUGUUUAAAGAAUAAAUAGUUAACCAUAUCCCACCUUUUGCCUAGCAAGGGUAUCCCAGCUAAUGUCUUUAAAAAAUUGAUGCUGCUUAACCUGAAGGGAAUAGGAUUAUAAGCAUCAAUCAUUUAUGUAUCAUAAGAAGUUUUGAAUAAUCCAUACAACGGAUGAAGGUUUCUAAAACCCUCAAAAGUCAAAAUACCUCAGAGGCGCCAUUUGCACCUAGCCGUUGGUGAGGGUCUUCUGUCAAUAAUCUGGGUAAAGCAGUCAUAAUAUCACAUUAGUUACAUAAAAAACAUAACCACAAUAAACUUCACAAAGGAUUUUGAAAUUGAGCAUGAAGUAGAUAGGGAGUAUUGUAAUAAUAUGCUUAAAUUGCAUGCGUAAAGAUUCCAAAAAUACAAAUCAUAUUGAAUAGUUCUACCUUUGAGCAAACAGAUGCUAUAAACCAUAGAACACAACUGAACACAUAUAAUAUAGCAGUGUGCUACUGUUACCCUAUAAGCUGAAACUGGAAAAAAGAUAGGGACUGACCUAUGGCAAUAUAAAAUAUAGCGAGUACCAAGUUAUCAAGCAAGAAAAUGUAAUAUUUUAGAGCAGAUGUGUCCCUGCCUAGUUUGACCCAAAAUCCUAAUUAACCCCAACAUUCAUUUGUGUUAUUUGGAACCUGAAUAAUACAGCUAACAAUCUGACGUACAUUAAUUCACAAUGCUGAUACGAGCAACUUUUGGGUGGUGAUUUUACAGUACAAAUGAGGGAGCUCACUUCAAUUGUUAUUGAUGGUGAUGAUCAUGGCAAAAACCCUAUUGACUUUAGUAUAGAAAUUUCAUGCUUGUCAUUGGGAUAACACAAAGGAAAAUGCAGUAUAAAGACAACAAUUUAUUAUAUAAUUGGUCCAUUGACCCUAAAAGUGACGUAAAAGCUGUGCAAUCUAGCAUAAUCAUCUAUCACAUUAAAACUUGGAAGCAAGAAAUAGUAACAUGCAAUCCUGUAAGACUGAAACAUGAGUUACUGUGUAUUCAGAAUACUCGAAACAUUUCUUACUUGUCAAUUAGAUCCUGAGCUUCAGAACUCAUCUCUUCUGGGACAUGUGGCCAAGGUAUUUUGCGGUUCAGAAUGUUGUCGAAAAUUGUCUACACCAAAUACAACAAGAAUGUCAAGUUGCCACAGUUUCAAUACAGCAAAAAACAACAUUGACUUAUAUAGCGACAUUUUGCAUUAAAUAGAUGAAAACCCAUGUGUUUUCUAGCAGACCAAAACCCAUGUAUUUUCUAGAAGACCUCUUUCUCUCAUAUUCUCAAGAGAUCUGAACGGGAGCUUUGCAUGCUUAAUGAAAGAACUUUACUCAACGUCACAUAAAUGGCAGAGAAAUAUUCAGUACAUGAAAGUCUGAUACCUGGGGGUGUUCUGCGUUGAAUGGAGGUAUUCCAACAAUUAAUUCAAAAAGUAUAACACCCACAGACCACCAAUCAGCACUAGUACCUGCAAGGACAAUCAGUACUCAAGAGAGUCAAAACGAGAAGACAAUGCAGAGGUUGAAAGAAAACUAUGUCGGGCAUUUUACCAUGUCCUGUCCCCAAAAGGAUUUCCGGUGCUAAAUAAUCAGGAGUUCCGACAGCAGAGCGCUUUUGUCUCCGUGCUCGGUGAUCCAUUUCCUCAAAUUCGCUCAUCUGAGGUUCAUCAUCUCCAUACAACGAAGACCCGCUAACAGCAGGACCAGAUAGAUCAUCCGUGCUGUUGAUCAGACCAACCUUGGACAACCCAAAAUCUGUCAACUGGAGAAUUAAGAUUGAUAAGCAGGACAUAUAGAAGGCAUUAAAAAGGAACAUAUUCGAAAAAGAACGAAAACAAUAUUUAUUGCUGAAUUACAGGUUAAAUGAAAUGAAAACUCAGAAGGAAAUAUGUGUAGCAUUAUCAUCAAUUCAUUAAGAUAUGGAUUCACUUAAUUAGAAAAGAGCUAGCUGAAAUCAGCAUAUAUUUGAUUUAUGUGGAAACCAACAUGUCAUGACAUGAAAGUUUUUAUGCAUUGCCUGAUUGUCAUGUGGGGACGUCACUACUCACUAAGUCCGGCGCCGGCGACGACAGCAAGAUACGGAACAGUAGUUUGUUAGCAUCCUUUUUCUUAGCUAAAUUGGUUUGUUAGUUUAGCCCUAUGAUUUGUUAUGAUCUUAUCUCUUAGAUGGGUAUAUUAAGCUGUAAGGAAGUUGAUUAAUGCAAGCAGAAUUUGAGAUCAAUCUCAUUUCAUUGUUCCUGCCUCAAGGGCGCGUCGCGGAUCACGGCACCGCCGCGCCGUCGAGGUCCAGGGCCACGUCCGAUCACCUCUUUCAAAUACAAUCUUCGCCGAGUUCCUCCUUCCAAUUUGCUAACUCGUGACAUUGAUACAACACAGUUUGAAACCUCAAAAAGUUUCAAAACUCCAAAAACUGAUUCUCCUCAGAACUCUCAUAGGAUAUGUGUUUAUUUUAUCUCUCACUAGAUGAUGCCAUUGUGGCAAUUGCUAUGAACUGCUACAUCACUAUCUCAUUUGGUUGCUGGAACCAAAAAUAGGAAUAUAUCUUCUAGUCAUCAGAGAACAGAAAAGCGCUUACCUUUGAGAGGCAUGUGAAUGAUUUUUUAGUUUAUCAUGUACUCCCUCCUUCCAAAAGUCUAAGUCCUAUUUCAUUCUUUGGUUUUUCCAAAAGUCUAAGUCCUAUUUGUAGUCAUUAUAUGCUAUAUUAAUUUUUUUAUCGGAACCCAAGAAGUCAUUUUAGUACUUUAUAGGUUGCAUGUUCAUUGGUUUUGUCACAUGAUGAAUGAGUUAACUACAUAUUGGUCUUGGUGCAAAAAGAAAUAGGACUUAGACUUUUGGAAGGAGGGAGUAUCUAACAUUGAACAUAAAACAAGAAAAAUGGAGAGAAAACUUAACGAUCAUGCGCACACAUAAAUACCUUUAUAUGCCCGUCAUGAGCUAUCAAUAAGUUGUCAGGUUUAAGAUCUCUAUGAACUAUGUGCAUAGAGUGCAAAUAUUCCAAAGCUAGCACCUGCAGAAUAAAAUGAUUAUCAGACAAAGGAAAAGUGAAAAUGGAAGAAAUAAAUUGUUAGUAAAAGAAACUUACAACUUCUGCAAGGUAUAUACGAGCAACAUCUUCAUCCAAGCACCCUAAAUUUCUCAGUAGAGAAUACAGGUCCCCUCCAUUCAGGUACUCCAUGACUAGAUACAAAUUUUCCCGGGAGGUAAAAGAAUAGAAGAAACGAACCUUAAAAGAACAUAACCAAUUCAGAACCACAGUAUAGCUUUCAAUGAUGAAGGGUCGCAUUUGCAAGUUCACUCACCACAAAAGGAUUCCUCACUGUAAUCAAGAUAUCACGUUCAGCCAAUAUACUCUCAACAGCAUUUUUCCGAAUCAUAUCUGCCUUCCUUAAUACCUGUUUCAAAAGUAAGCAACUAUUGUUAGACCACAUGGAUGCCCCAUCCAUCCCAAACCGAAAAACAAAAGCUAAUAAUAAAGGGAGUUUAGCAGUCAAGCCCCCAAACUAUUGCUUUACAUCUUAGAGCUAUCAUGCUGAGCAGAGGCAAGGUGUUGUGUGCUCAGCAAAACCAAAAUUACUAUACCAAUUUAUCAUUACUUCCUUUUUUGUGAGGAGUCAAUUCAUCAUUCAUGUGAACUAAAGUCACUUCAAUCUAAAACCUAUGAUGGUCAAGUUGUCACAAGUAAAGCAUGAACAUGAUGGGCCGCUCCACUGUCAUUCUGAUCCCAUUUUUAUAAGUAAGCUAUGACUAUCAAGGAGACUAAUGCAGGUAAAAAUAACUACUUAGAGUCCAAUAUCAUGUCCAGUCUACACCAUAGUCUAGAAAACAAAAACUACCAAACCAAACAGGCAAACACACCAUCAAAAUUUUGCCACUACCAAAACUUUGGCAUUGCCCAUAUAUUUGUCUCUUGUUGGCACAAAUUGGCACCAAACCAAACCUACCAACUCUACCCUACCAAAAUGUGAUAGUGCCAAAAGUUGCCAAAGAUACGGCAUUACCAAACUUUUGGUAGGGUAUCGAACCAAAAUGUGAUAGUGCCAAAACAGCAUAAUGAUUUAACGGGAGCAACUAAAUGGAUCCCAUUGGAACCGACUCCAUAUUAGUUAACUUUUUAAAAGCAAACAGUCAUAUAAUUUUAACAUAUCCUGUAAUCACAUAAGUUACUUAUCUAACAAGACGCAGAUUUGAUUAAAAAACAAGGGAUGCCUAACUAAUGAAAUCGAGUGCAGUUUCUUUCUCGAAUGAAUUUUAGAACAAGUGAUAUAAUUCGUAACAUUGACCACAUGUACCAAAUGAACCAGCGGAACAAGUGGUACAGCCAGGUUUUUGUAGUAUGGAUAGUGUACUACAGUACUAUAAAUAUGAAGAGGUGUACUACAAAUAUGAAGAUGUGUACUAUAAACAUCAAGGUGUUAAUCUUUUUUGUGGUCAACUAGUCAAACUGGGAGCAAAUUAAAAAAGCAAACGCGAGAAAUACCAUCUCUCUAAUCUUCCUUCUCUGAACAUUGAAGGUCCACAGGUAUUUCCUUUCUUUUGCAAAAGUUUUCAAUCCAAUAAUUUGACCAUGUCAUGUUGAUCACAAGGGGUCCUUGAUAAUAAAUAAUGAAUGACUUCCAGCUGGUGGUUCUCAUAGAAAUGUGUUGUUUAGAAAGGUAUGCAUAAAUGUACGAAAAACCUCAAGGCCCUUUCUAAAGUAUCAUUGCAAUAAUAUCACAAUGGCAGGGGUUAUCAACUGAACAAAACUACCGCCGAGUAUCGACAAGAACAAAUAUUCUUGAGUGUGUUUUAUUGAGUUUUGGGGAAGAAGACUGGCAAGUCAACAUAUUUACAUCAAAAGCAAUUUCCUUUCCCCUUUUUUGCAUGCUAAAAUUCUGGUUUGCGUCUGAAAGAUAGUCAUAUAGCAAUAUUUUUGGUUUUUGGUCAAGAAUGCCUACAACAUUACAGGUACAACCAAGGAAAGCAAGUCUGGGUACAUAAGGGAACAAAUAUAUGGCAACAAAUACCUUUAUAGCAAAGAGGUCUCCUGUAGUUCUUUUCUUGGCCAAGAAAACACGUCCAAAUGCUCCACGGCUGAUAGGUUUAAUGAUUUCGAAGUCAUCAAUCGAAGUACGAUCCUUGACUGGGUGAACAGGACUAGCUCGUAAGCUACGGACAACAUCAUCUUCUUCAUCCAUUACAGUACUCGCUGAAUCAACUUUGUCCAUAUCAACCGAAUCACAAAGCAGUAGGUACUUCUCCCUAAGAAAUUAUAUAAAUGUGAAGGGAAAUUACAAAUGGAAACUAAUAUAAGUGCUAAAAGUGACCUGCAAGAAUUAUUUUCAUGUGCUUAUUUAGUAUAAUGUCAACUAAGAUAAGCCACUUGUGUAGUGAACUCAGCAGAGACUCACCGGUGGAGUUUUUCUAUACGUGUGCCAAAUGUCUGCACCGUGAGAGCCUCAUGCUUCCUACGAUUGACAAUUUCUUGCAGAUCUUCUAUGCAGGUAACCAAUAGGGAGAGUGCCCUUUCUUCAUCUAGAGGAGUAGUUGCAAUGCACCGCGCAAUAUCAGCAAGUUCAACAAUCUGCACAGAUUGAAGGACACUGUUAAUCAGCACUUCUUGCAUUAUAUUACAUUACAAAAUCAUUUACUACUGGUAGAUGAUGCAUAGUGAUCCUAACCUAGAUUAUUAUAUGGUAAAUACCACACUGAGGACCAGUGUGAAGGGGGGAGUCCGCUUGGAAAGGGAGGUAAACAUGACAGGAGUGAACUUUUUAAUCUUUCUUCUUGCUUAAUUCUUAAAAGAAAACAAAUCCCCUUGAGCUCCCAAAGGUGCAGCUAAGACAUUGGAGAUAGUAGAUGCCAUCUAAUCAGCACCAUCUCUAGGUAUACUUGGUAACAAAGCAAACUAACCAACUAACAGCAUCUCUAAUGAAGGGCUUGAUUGGUAUAGCUUGCUGCAGCUGCAGCUGUAACUACAGUACCAAUAACAGGUUUUGUGAUGAAGCUGCUAUAGUGCUGCGGCUGUGCAGCAGCAGCAAAGCUGAACCAAUCCGGCCCGACAUCUAACGUGUGGCAGUGGCAGCUAAGCCCACAAUCAUACAUGGCACAUUCGUUCCAGCCACCCAACCAUCAUAUAUACGCAUGACACAGUGGUUGAUUGGAAAAAUAGUGGCAUUAUUACCAUUCCUUUUCAACAAACGUAUUCUGCACAAGAGAAACUAAAUUUUCAUAAACAAACAAAAUAUUUUACCAUGGCCAUAGCUUUGCUCACUUUGCACAUUGUACCUUGUACAAAAAUAAACACCGACUAUUUUCUAUAGUUUAGCCUAGCAAAAUAAUCAACUAUCUAAUAUAUGUAUGUGUGAUUGAGAGAGCUUACCUGAGGAAGAUCAUCGCUCUCAUUAAUUGCACUUCGGCCAGCUAAAAGCAUGUCUAUGUGAUUAGAUCUUGGAGUUGUUAGUGGAGAUCUAGGGGUCAUACUUCCUGCUGAAGAUGUAGCCAUUCCAUGAUCAGAUUUUGGCCCAAAACGAGUCUUACAUGUCAUGGAAGGAAGGUUUUUUAUGUCAUCCAGUGAAAUAGUGCUAUCAGCCUCCUGGAGGUAGUCAAGCAUAUCAGCUGAGCCUCUUCUAGACCAAUCAGAGAGUUUUGGAGAGGGGCCAUCAGAUUCUUCAUUGAUGCUUGAAUUUGAUACUUUUGCAACAUCUGGACUGCCAACAGCAUUUGGAAGGUCUUUUUGUGUAUAAGAUUCUACCAACUUUUCAAGUGCUUCAGCAACUCUAAUUAGACGUUCAUCAACGCUUACACCUUUUUGAUCACAUCUGUCAGCACUUGCACAUAUUGCUGAGUGAUUUUCUACAUAAUGAGUAGGGACAUAUUCUUCACAUAUGCGACACAUUAUUGAACCUUCUUCAGAAAUAUUUGGCUGGUCAGACCAGUGACCCCAUGAAGUUUUGUGUUGAUGCUUGGGAGGAAGAGAUUGAUGUGAUGUAGAUUCCACUGGACUGUUCAAUUCAGCCUGGCUACUAACUGCAGGGGGUGUAUCUGUUUUCUUAUUAGGUGAUUCCUCUUUAAUAGGGGUAGGGUCUUUAGGGGGUUUUGGGACAGGUGAUGGAAAAGGUUUCCAGGAAGAUAUACGCUCCCUGGUUGGAGACUCAACCUCC